rnacentral:rRNA from 1 species
CCUACGGGAGGCAGCAGUGGGGAAUAUUGGGCAAUGGGCGCAAGCCUGAACCAGCAACGCCGCGUGAAGGAAGACGGCCCUCGGGUUGUAAACUUCCUUUAUUCGGGGCGAAACAAAUGACGGUACCGAAUGAAUAAGCCAAGGCUAACUACAUGCCAGCGGCCGCGGUAAUACGGAGGUGGCAAGCGUUAUCCGGAUUUACUGGGUGUACAGGGGGUGUAGGCGGGAGAGUAAGUCAGACGUGAAAUUUCAGGGCUCAACCCUGGAACUGCGUUUGAAGCUGUUCUUCUUGAGUGAUGGAGAGGUAGGCGGAAUUCGGGGUGUAGCGGUGAAAUGCGUAGAUAUACGGAGGAACACCAGUGGCGAAGGCGGCCUGCUGGACAUUAACUGACGCUGAUGCGCGAAAGCGUGGGGAGCAAACAGGAUUAGAUACCCUUGUAGUC